CUUAAACUCGUGUUCUCUAAUUACAGAUUCUACAACAGUGGGAACAGCCUAUUUAUAGAACCCUUUCAUGAUUUUGAACACCUCUAUUAGGUACCCUCUUGGAUGUCUCUUCUCUCACGAUUUGAUUGACUGAUUCUGAAUUGACCGUGAUUUGAGACAGACAUUGAGUAUCCUACUUGGACUAGUGACCAUGAAUAUAGAGUUGAAUGGUCUCCAAGAUGCUGUGUUCAAUUCAACCCUCUGUGGUGGCCUCAGUAGUCCAGUUCUAAGCCAGUGCCAAAGGAUCUUUGACGUUCACCUGAUGGGACAGGCAGAUGGGACCUCGGUUUAACGUCUCAUCCGAAGGACUGUACCUCCAACAAUGUAACACAGCAGCUGCAGUACUUCAUUGGAACUAUCGUAGAUAUUAGUUAGUGCUUCCAAAAGGGGAGAAUAAUAAGAGAAACCAAUGUAAUAUGUUUUAUUAAAUCAGACAAAUGAUUUGCAUAGGCUGAG